CUUAACUGAACCUUCGGGGGACGUUAAGGGCGUCGAGCGGCGGACGGGUGAGUAAUGCCUGGGAAUAUGCCUUGAUGUGGGGGAUAACCAUUGGAAACGAUGGCUAAUACCGCAUAAUCUCUUCGGAGCAAAGAGGGGGACCUUCGGGCCUCUCGCGUCAAGAUUAGCCCAGGUGGGAUUAGCUAGUUGGUGAGGUAAUGGCUCACCAAGGCGACGAUCCCUAGCUGGUCUGAGAGGAUGAUCAGCCACACUGGAACUGAGACACGGUCCAGACUCCUACGGGAGGCAGCAGUGGGGAAUAUUGCACAAUGGGCGCAAGCCUGAUGCAGCCAUGCCGCGUGUGUGAAGAAGGCCUUCGGGUUGUAAAGCACUUUCAGCAGUGAGGAAGGUGGUGUCGUUAAUAGCGGCAUCAUUUGACGUUAGCUGCAGAAGAAGCACCGGCUAACUCCGUGCCAGCAGCCGCGGUAAUACGGAGGGUGCGAGCGUUAAUCGGAAUUACUGGGCGUAAAGCGCAUGCAGGUGGUUUGUUAAGUCAGAUGUGAAAGCCCGGGGCUCAACCUCGGAACCGCAUUUGAAACUGGCAGGCUAGAGUACUGUAGAGGGGGGUAGAAUUUCAGGUGUAGCGGUGAAAUGCGUAGAG
rnacentral:rRNA from 1 species